rnacentral:rRNA from 1 species
AUUGAACGCUGGCGGCAUGCCUUACACAUGCAAGUCGAACGGCAGCGGGGGAGAAGCUCGCUUUUCCUGCCGGCGAGUGGCGAACGGGUGAGUAAUACAUCGGAACGUGCCCUGUAGUGGGGGAUAACUAGUCGAAAGAUUAGCUAAUACCGCAUACGACCUGAGGGUGAAAGUGGGGGACCGCAAGGCCUCAUGCUAUAGGAGCGGCCGAUGUCUGAUUAGCUAGUUGGUGGGGUAAAGGCCUACCAAGGCGACGAUCAGGAGCUGGUCUGAGAGGACGAUCAGCCACACUGGAACUGAGACACGGCCAAGACUCCUACGGGAGGCAGCAGUGGGGAAUUUUGGACAAUGGGCGAAAGCCUGAUCCAGCAAUGCCGCGUGUGUGAAGAAGGCCUUCGGGUUGUAAAGCACUUUUGUCCGGAAAGAAAUGGCUCUGGUUAAUACCUGGGGUCGAUGACGGUACCGGAAGAAUAAGGACCGGCUAACUACGUGCCAGCAGCCGCGGUAA